AAAACCAAGAAAAAUGCUUAUUUGGGUCCCUUUUUGGCCCCUAAUUCCUAAACUGUUGGGACCUAAACUCCCAAAAUCAAUACAAACCUUCCUUUUGUAGUCAUUAACAUUGUGUUUAAAUUUCAUUGAUUUCUAUUUACUUAAACUAAAGUUAUUGUGCGAAAACCAAGAAUAAUGCUUAUUUGGGCCCUUUUUUGGCCCCUAAUUCCUAAACUGUUGAAACCAAAACUCCCAAAAUCAAUCCCAACCGUUCUUUUGUGGUCAUAAACCUUGUGUCAAAAUUUCAUAGAUUUCUAUUAACUUAAACUAAAGUUAUAGCGCGAAAACCAAGAAAAUGCUUAUUUGGGCCUUUUUUGGCCCCUUAUUCCUUAAAUGUUGGGACCAAAACUCCCAAAAUCAAUACCAACCUUCCUUUUGUGGUCAUAAACCUUGUGUUAAAAUUUCAUAGAUUUCCAUUCACUUUUACUAAAGUUAGAGUGCGAAAACUAAAAGUAUUUGGACGGCGACGCCAACGUGAUAGCAAUAUACGACGAAAAAUUUUUCAAAUUUUGCGGUCGUAUAAAAAG
rnacentral:lncRNA from 1 species